CAAGCCCGCAUUACUAACCUCGGUCAAAUGCUAUUAGUUGAGCAUUUAUUCCCUCAGUGCCGGCCCCGAUGAAGGCCGUUUUUCUCUUGGUCCGGGCCAUGCAUGCCCAGUUGUGGCAUCCACCAACUUAGAAGAUUGAUAGUUUAAAUUAGUGUAGUCCACACACUCUAUUUCCAUUACUCAAGUGGGAUUUGGACUCCUUAGAUUGGUCGGGCCUUGAGAAGCCGGUCUACUUCCUCAAUGACCGCUUCAAUAUGUAUUGUAGCCGAGCCUCUGGCUUUUUAGACCACAGGACGCUAAGAUGGAUCCAUGUUCAAAUGAUGGCCAGGGAUGAAUGCAGGAUUCGAAUGUGGGUUGGGUGAACAUUACAACAAGGUUUAAAACAUAGGAUAGGCAACAUUAAUUGGGCCAACACAAAUUGCCACAAUAUUAUUAACAAAAUUAUGAUAUAUGUAGUUUCGAUCAACUUAUGACGAUAAAUAUAUGACCAUAACUAAUUACAUGCAUAUAGUACAGUGCAUCCAUUAAUUUUAAAAGCAAAAUUUAGAAACAAGUGUUCCGUCUCUAUAUAAGAGUAAGAACUUAAAACUGCACUCAACGCUCUUUCAUAAUGUAAAAUGUAUUUGUAAUGAAAUCAAUAUUAAAGUGCCCAACAAUUAAUGCCUUCUCAAUGUAAUUGGGCAUAUUACUCGCAAGGAAAUCAUUCUCCAUCCUAUUCCUUAUUUAGUUGAUCAAUUGCACUUCCCUUGUUUGUCUAUUUGUCAGUCUGCCAGGAACUUUUCAAGCUUUGCCAAAGAUUGCUUGCCUGCUUGAGUUACAGUUUGGUUAUCCUCAUGAUUUUAGCUAUUGUAAAUUAACCUAGGAUUAAUUUGGUUUAGUAUACUUCCUUCUUGGUCAUGAACAUUUGAUAAAAUCAUCAUGAGAGUGCUUAUCAAUAAUCGAAUCAGUUGUGGGAGCAUCUUCAUGUAGUAUGUGCGACUCAAAUGUUCUGUGUCAUUACUUUUUGGCAAAAGUUGCCUAAUUUUACUUCUUAUGUGUAUUGCAUGGUCAGGUGCUAAACUUUGUAUGAUAUUGGACCUUCUUGGCAGUUCUGUUUCUGUGACUGGCAUUGAUGUUGCAAGACAUCGCUUAGCGGCUUGUAGAACUAUGGUGCUGAAAUACAGUCUUGGUGAUCGUUGUCGUCUCUUUGUUGCUGAUGGAACAUUAUUUUCCCUACUUCCGAUCAGGGUCUUUCAGGUUCCAACUCAGGUGAAUAUCCUUUGGAUGAAAUGGUGAACUUAUACAAGGAGUGGACAUCUAGGAGACCGCGGAAAGACAAGAAAAAGGCGGCUAAAGCAAGAGUAACCGUAGCUUCACAGUUAGCCUUGUCGACUCAAGAUCCAGAGCUUAUAUAUUAUGGGAAGAAUUCUGGAGUGGUUGGUCUCACUAGAAGUGAAAUAUAUCAAAUUUUCCGUGGUAAUGAUGUUUUGCGCUGUGGUUAUGACAAGGUCCUCGUGGAUGCAGAGUGCAUGCAUGAUGGGUCAAUUAAACACAUCCAGAAAUUUGAAUAUUGGGGCUGGAAAACUCUCCAACGUCGUGUAUUGAAUGCGGAAAGAACUGAUAAUUUGGCUGUCCUUCAGUUACAGCUUCUAACCAAUGGUUUUAGAUUGCUCAAAAUUGGGGGAUAUCUAGUCUAUAGCACUUGCAGUUUAACAGUUGCUCAGAAUGAAGAUGUAGUAGAGCAGUUUCUUCUUCAAAAUGCUUCUGCUGAGUUUUUGGAGAUUGAUGCAGCCAAAAAUUGGCCUUGCAGAAGUGGACGGAUACCAAAGACCCUGCGAUUUGAUCCCAUGACUUCCAGAACUAGUGGCCUUUUUGUGGCAAAGUUUACAAAAUUGGCCAUUUUAGUUUAGGUUGGUAUUGAUUUAUGACCCAAGCUUAUAGCCAAUAAACAAUAUAUUCUACAUGAACGUUUGAUCACUCUGAUUUGACGUAAACAUUCUUUCGCACGUUUUAAUCUUAUAAGAGCUUCUUUAGCAGAUACCUCAAUUUUUUCGUCGAAAGUGUACUUUGCUACCUCACUUUGCAAUUUAAAAAAUGAGUUUUUAUGGUGCACUCUAGCAGACUCUUCAAAUUUUGUUGUCAAAAGUGUACUUUGCUGCCUUUUUUUUUUUUUUUUUUUGUAUUUUGUAUUUUGUAUUUUGCUAUCUUCAUUAUGUACUUCAGCAGAUUCUUCAAAUACCAAAUCACCUUUUGUAUUAGGUUUUGGUGUUUGAGGAAUGCUCUACUCAUAUGUGGAAUUUGAAGAGAGGGAAAAAUAAUUUCAAAGACGAGUUAGUGUUUGAAGGGUCUGUUGGAGCGCUUAAAACAUUGCAUGACCUUCUCUCUUCUUCUUCUUUUUUUUUUUGAUUUUUGAUGUUUAAGUGGUCUGCUGGAGAUGCUCUAACUGAAAAGGCACACGUGAUCCUCGCUUUUUUAACCUUUCUCUCCCUUCUCCUCUCUUAGAAGUUAGAACCAUCUAUAUGUAAGCAAAGCAAAUAUUUGAUGCAAUGCUUGAAAGGCAUUUGGUGAAAUCUGUUAUAUCUAACAUUUGAAAGGGCUGGUUGUUGGUUGCAAUUUUGGGUUGAGAGGACGUCUAAUGAAAACACAAUACAGUUCACUGCUUACUGGACUUGUAUUCCUCACAGGGUAUUACUGCCAUUUGUCAAGAUGCUUCGGCAUUCAAGACGUACUGAAUUCCAGUCCAGAUCUCAUCCGCUUCUACAUCAGGUAAUAUUGGACCAUGUACAAGGAUUUCUCAGGCAGCAGCAAAGCAUGUGUAGUGUCAUUUAUCUCAAGUAGAUGAGCAGAUAGUUUUCUGUAUGGGUUUUGAUUGAUUACAACUAUUACAGACCAGAUUGACUGUACAAUCUUCUGUAAUUUUGUGAUAGCUUUUUCGCCAAGAGAAGUAGUGACAUGCAAUUCUUAACGAGGUUGUUCUGUUGUAGCUAAAGUUCUGUGAAGUAUGAAAUUCCAUUGAGCACAUGAUGUACAGAACCUACUUGAACAGUUGUUUGAAUAGAAACUGUUUAUUUAAUAUGGAAGGAUGUGUUAUCAUGGGAGAAAUACUGAAAAAAAGGAGAGAUCGGAAACUAGCAGAGAAGCAUGCCAAAUCCUGCAAACAUAAAUGUGAGAAGAGGAGAUGAACGAUGGAUGUAAUUCCGGUAAUUUCUACAUAAAUUUUUUGCAUAAUACUAAUAGUUUGGCUUGUUUAGUUCAUAUCUUUCAACCAAAUCUUUGGAUACAUUUCAUGCUCUACGACUCAACCUAUCAUUAGUAGUCAUGAACAGAUCUCUGUCUCUGAUGCUUCUGAUGUUCCCUGAAAGAUUCGAUGAAUCGCUCUGCUCCCUCAUUCACUUCAAACGUACUUAAGCAUUCCUUUCCACCCUCAUCCAUUCUUCGUUCAACUGCAGGCGUCUCAAUGUCACCCACACUUCCAUUCUCAGACUGGGACUCAACGUCAUGAUCAGAAACCACACCAUAUGAUUCAGGUUUAACCAUGGCAUCUCCUUUUACCUCUCCGCCAAUAUUUGUUAGCCUUCUUUCAAGUUCCUCGUGUUGGCGGUGGUUAUAAUUGCACGGACACUCGUAUAGACUGUUUACGGAGGCAUAUGUAGUGUCUGGAAAACUUUUGUUAUGGGAGGGAGAGUAAGUCGAGCCGAGCAAAUCGGCCAAUAUUUGUUAGCCUUCUUUCAAGUUCCUCGUGUUGGCGGUGGUUAUAAUUGCAUGGACACUCGUAUAGACUGUUUACGGAGGCAUAUGUAGUGUCUGGAAAACUUUUGUUAUGGGAGGGAGAGCAAGUCGAGCCGAGCAAAUCGGCAAUGCGACGAGGGGUUUUCUUGAAGGCUCUGGUGAACUUUGCAAAGCUCUUGGACACCUUGUUAUGGCACUGAAACUUCUUUCCUAGAGGAGGAGAUGACAUAAUUGAUAAUGGAGUGUGUUAUAUCUAUGAAUCUUCUGUAUGUUCUUGUGGGGUCUUUUCUGGUUAUAUAGAGCUAGCUAGGGUUUCCCUUCAAAAGGAAAACAUUAUUUCUCCCUCCCCGUUGUGGCAAUCCUAAACUUCGUGGAUAUGUUUCUUCUUUUUCCUUUUUUAGCAUGUUGUGAGCUUUUUAGUUUUUACCAUGUAAAUCUCUCUCAAUUCUUCAAUGUUGCAUACUCAACCAGAAAUUUCAGAGUACUUUUUCAUGGAAAGAAUUGCCAAUUUGGUGAAGUU